rnacentral:lncRNA from 1 species
UUUUUAGUUUGUUUAUUAUUAUUUUAUUUUAUUAUUAUUAUUUUUUUUAUAAAAAAAAAAAACAAAGAAAGAAAGAAGACUCACGUCUUCCUCUCUUCUUUUCUUUUUUCUUUUCUUUUUCUUUUCUUUUUAUUUUAUUUAUUUAUUUAUUUAUUUAUUUGUUAAGCCUUUGUCCCCAAGUCUCAGCUGCAGGGGCAUUUUGGUCAUUGUUUUGUACCAGAGCCAACCCUAGUUUGUCACUAUAAAAACCCUGUCCAAUCAUUGGGAAAGGGGUCCGAAAUUACUGUUCACGUCAGAAAAAAAUCAGCAUCAAUUCACAAACCCUAUUUUUCCAUUUUUCCAACCAGUUUUCAGAUCAAACACUAAAAUUACAAAGAAAUAACAUGAACUCAUGAAGAACAUUCAUAGAUUCAUCAAAAUCCAGCAACACAAAACUUAAACAAAAACAUCAAAUCAGCCCAUACAACCACACAAAUCAUCAUCAUCCAAACUGUACAAACAGAUCUGAAACAAAGACCGGAAGGAGAGGAGCAAACCGAACCGGAAAAAGGAGAGGAGCAAACCGAACCGGAAAAAGGGGAGGAGAACCGGACCGGAUUCAAACAAAGAGAGAGAGAUCGGAAAAAGAGGUAAUGGUUUUCUUUCAACUUUAUGUUGUGUUUUGUAUGAAGUUUUUUUGAAACUAAAUUUGUAGAUCUAGCUCAAAUUUCUCUACCCUUUUUAAAACUAAUACCGGAUUCGAGUAGAGGAAGGGAAGAGGAGUGGUUUGAUGUAAAAAAAUUUCGAAAAAAAGCAAAAAAAAAAACUUCGGCGCGGCGGCGCUCCGGCCGACCACCACGCCGGAGCAGCUCCGGCCGCCCCUCUUCAUCUUCUCCGGCCGUGUUGUUCUUGAGGGAGGGGAGAGCUUCUCUCUCUAAGUUUAACUUAGAGAGAGAAGUGUUUUAGAGUUGUGUUGUUUUUUUGUUAAACUUGCUUUUAUAGUAAUUUCUUUUUUGCCGGAUCACACGCGCGCGUACUCAUAACCAUACGAUGCUCCAUCGCGUUAGUAGCCAUCAGAUCUGGGUCAUUCCUUGAUCUGACGGCUACCGUAUGAUCUGUCUUUAAAUCCUGUGUGUGUUCUGCUGUAUGGACUGUGGUGUGUUUUCUGUUUGAACCGUCAGAUCGUUGAUCUGACGGUCACUGUGCUUCCAGUAUAUCCUUCCUUUUUUUCUGUUUAUUUUUAAAACCGUUGGAUCUUAGAUCCUAUGGCUGUGAUGAGAUCUUGGGAUUCAGAUCUGGACCUCUGGAUUCAUCCAACGGUCCAGAUUAGAUCCUGCUGAGCCAAUUUUGUUUUUUUUUUAAUUUAAUGUUCUUUAUCAUUUUUUAAUACUUUUUACACUUUUUUUUGACAUUUUAAUGCUUUUAAAAAUUCCAAAAAUAUUGUUCUUAUUAUCUUAAUUUUCUCUAAUUUUUAAAACCCAUCCUAUUUGUUUUCUUUUAAAAUUUUCUAUUUAUUUCUUAUAUGAUGAUCUUAAUUGUUGCUUGUCUUUAUUCCUUGCUUUUUAUUUCUUAUGUCUCAUUCACCAUGAUAUUUCUUAUGCUUACUAACGAUUUAAUUUUUGUCUUGAAUCAUAGCAUGCACAUUUAAUUUUCUCAUCAUCUUAUUUUGUCAUUGAUUUAGUGUGUAUAAAUAGGGAAUUGAUGUAAUUUUAUUUCUUGCAUUUUUAUUUUGGCAUAAAGGCCUUAGGGUUGUAUUUAGGAAUUGAUGUAAUAAUCUAGGUAACACAAGCACCGACACAUGCACCGACACUACCACAUUUUAUUUACCGCUUUCCGUUAGUUUUUACGACGUUACGUUAGUUUUCACCGUUAGUUUAGAAAAAUCAUUUUCUCAAAAAAAAAUCGAAUAUGCGAAACUUCAAAAAUCAUUUUCUUAAUAACAUUUUCCCUUUAUUUUCUUAAUCAAAUUCUCAAUCAAUUUUAAUUCAACUUCAAUCAUUUUCAAAAUUUAAAAUCAAUCAACCUCACUCAUUUCUUUUAUCUCAUGCCUUGAGGCCUCUUUCUCUUCUUAAAACCAUUUUCAAAAAAAUCUUAAAAUCAACCUAACCCACCAAAGAAAUUUUUGAGUGGAACUACGUCGGUUUUGAUCCCUUUCCCAAAAGGGUACGUAGGCAGAGGACUUGUCCUUCCAAAUCAAAUAAAAAUAACCAAAAACAUACUUCUUCUCCCUCCAUUCUUUCACUUAGAUUUUAGGUAAUAAUUUUUCAAGUAAGCCAAAUGAAUUUAGCACAAGAUAAUUUAGGUAAGCGGUUCCUUCGGAGUACCGAAGUCGUUUAGGGUGCUUAACACCUUCCCUAUUCGAAACCAACCCCCGAAUCCAAAGUCUCGAAAAGGGUUUUUACUCAUUUUUUCCCUUCCCAAGAAUAAAAAUCGAGAGUUCAAAGAUCGACGAUUCAAAUCAAUUAAAUGGUUUGACAUCCGAAAAUCGCGAGCACAGCCGGUGUUCGAACCCCGGACCUUACAUACAUUAUGCAUUGUCCAAACCAACUGAGCUAAGCUCACGAAGACAUGUAAAUGGUGAAUAUAAUAAAAUUUGAAGUAACUAAACGUGAAAUAAUAAUAAUAAUAUAAUAAUAAUAAGAUAAAUUUUUCAUCCACCUUAUAAAGAGUAAAUUUCAGUCACUGAGCUACUUAACCACCAUAACUUAAAAACUUUUUGAGCAAUUAAGUAAAUGAUGAAUAUAAUAAAAUUUGAAGUAACUAAACGUGAAAUAAUAAUAAUAAUAAUAAUAUAAUGAUAAUAAGAUGAAUUCUCUGUCACUAAACUACUUGACCACAUGAACUUAAACUUUUUAAGCAAUUACGUAAAUGGUGAAUAUAAUAAAAUUUAAAGUAACUAAAGGUGAAAUAAUAAUAAUAAUAAUAAUAAUAAUAAUAAUAAUAAUAAGAUAAAUUUAAACAAGAAUCAUCUAAAAAAAAGUUAGAGGACUGACACAAUAUUGAAUAUAAUAAAUAACACCAAAGAAAUAAAUAAAAGAGUGAGUAAAUCUUAGAUUUCAUGCAUUAAUGUGGUAGUGAACUUCUUUAGAACCACCUAAAUAAUAAAUUCCACCUAAAUAAAAUAGUGAACUUUUAUUCUUUCUUCCCUUCCUCUCAUUCCGUAUAUUAUUUUUUGUUUAUUUUCUCUCUAGUGUCUCCUUUUGUGUUCAUAGGUUAUGACUUAUGAGGUAGAUUUUCUUGCAUAGAAGACAUAGGGAUCAAUGAUCAGGAAGAGACAUAGAUUUUCUCAUCAAAUUUCUUCUUCUUUAAGUAAUCUUAAGUGGUACUAAUGUGCGCUCUGCAGUUGUGUGAUAUGGCAUAAACGAAAUCUUAUGAUCCUUUCACAGAAAUCUCGAAGCUAUAUGCUGUGUUGCGCAUUGACGAUUAGGUACACGUGUAAGUAGUUGUACUUGUGCGGGAGUGUGACCAAGUGGUAAUCUGGCGAGAUACUUUUGCGAUUAACAUAACAGACACAUACAUAACGGGACAAGACAUUAACACGUCACACCGGUAAUAAUUUGAGAAAAUGAUAUUAAUUGAAAGUAAUCAUAUGUGUGCCAAAUGUAUCUUGUGUGUGGCCAAGAGUCCCUAACUAGAGUAUCAUAAGUUUACUUCUUCUACUCUAUGCAUACGAUCUCUACAAGUAACAAACAAUCAAGUUAUAUUUUAAUUUAAAUAUUUCUUAAUAAAAUACUAUUAGAAGUAUAUUUUGACAGAAUUUAUAAAAAUAUUUGUAAGAAAAAGCAUGAGAUUUUCAUUGUAACAUCCCAAUGUUACAAGUUUUACAUCCACUGCUAAACCCUCAAAAUUAUUCAAAACUGAAAUAACAUCUUUAAUUCACUUUACUCAACAAGUGAAACCUAAAAUAUAUCAUCAUCUCUUUCUCUUCUACAAGGAAAUAUCAUCUAUAAACCCCAUCUUUUGAUUUCAAUAAUCUAAAUCGAUUGCUACAUGUUGGUACGUGCGAAAACCAACUUGCCGGCUACCUGUUUGGCUUCUCCCAGUGCACCCAAAAUUUCUCUCUGUUUGGCUUCUCACAAGAGAUUUUUCAGACCUUGCAAUUUCAGUCUUCAAAUAUGAUCAAAUGACUUCUUUUAACAAGACCAAUAAAACCACAUGAGACAGAAAUUUUGAAGUAUAAACUGGUAGAGAUUAGGCUGAAAAAUGAUGAUAGAAAGAAAAUAUUCCCAAAUGUCUGGCUAGUGAAAUUCACAUACUGAGAUUGCCAAAGAAACGACAUUGGAAACAACAUUUAAGUUUUAGUUCCAAUUAAAAUACUAAAACCAUUGUUUAGUAGCAUAGUUAUCCACAUACAGAUACCAUAUGAGAUUAAAGUUUUAAAACAUGUAAAAAAAAGCAGGUUCCAGGAAGCACUAGAUAGUAGAUACUGCAUAUAACACGAUGAAGCUUGAAAUCGAAGGUUAAUCAUAGAAAGUCAAGUCCAUCCACAGAAACAGAUAUCAGGAUGAAUAUGACAUACAUGCUUCCUUAAUCAUCACAUAUGUGAUAUAUGCAACAUUAAUUACAUCAAACGAUAUUCUUUUGUAAACCAGAUAAGUCAUUCCGUAGGAAAAAUUAAAUAAGAGAGCAAAGAAACAUCUGAGAUCUUGAACCAAUGCACGGAUUACCUCCACGCAAGUCAUCCACAAUCUCCGUAUAGCGCUGAAAUACAAGAUUUCCACCAUAUCCACAUCACAGCAUACUCCACCAGGCUCCUGAAGAAAAUUGCUCCUGGUUUGAAAUCCAGGAUGCAAUAUCUUGACAUGGAUUAAUUCCUACUGAGGGAGAGGAUAUGCAAGGCAUAACUGAAUUUGACCACGACACUUGAUUAAAUUCCAGUAUGCAUACUCUAACCAAAGAUGCUAUUCCUACUUAUGGAAAAGAUAUACGAAACACAACCGAAUCCUGGACAAAUGCCAAAAAGAAAGUCAAUGAGCUAAUAACAGAUGAUCAAGGGAAGCUAACGAAGUCCUCAAUUACAAAAGUUACUGAGAAAAAGAACCACGCAAUUUAUGAUUUUACUUCUGAGACUAAAAUGAUUCCCUCGAAAGGCUUAGAAGCUGGUCAAAUAUCAGAUGAGAAAGACUCCAUAAUCUAUGGCCUGAUAGACAACAGAAACUAGGUGGACAUCGACAGUAUGCCUACUCUCAGGAAGGAACUUAUUAUUAUUAUUGAUGAUGAUGAAAUUGACAUACGAGGCAGAACUGGAUUCAACCAACAGGAGGGGAUAAAUGCUAAACAGGAACUUGUUGAGCCAAAAGAUGAUCAAGAGAAGCAAAUCGAGUCCUCAAAUACCACAAUUAGUGAGAUGAACAAUAAUGUGGAGGUUGAUACAUUUGGACAGACUUUCAGGAUUGAAACAGUUCCCUGUAAAUCAUUUUGAAUAUAAAGACUCACAUGAAUUUCAGUCAAUAGUAAAGAAUUUAAAGUAACGAUUGUUAAUAGCACUAGUCAUUCCACGGCCACUGUUCGCGGCCGCCACACCUCUUUACUUUAAAGAAUAUAUGUUAGCAUUCCAGGACUAUUGACUAGUCAUUCCUCUGAAGCAGCUCUUUACUUUAAAUUCUUUACUAUUGACUGAAGCAGUUCCCUCUGAACCGCAUUUAUAAGCUCAACAACCAGUACUGUAUUUUCUAAGGAUACAUAAACCAUAAACUAACACCAGAAUUGCAUGCUCUGUCAAUAUUGUGUGUGGCCAUUAGAGUCCCUAACUAGUAGCAUAACUUUACUACUUCUACUCUAUGCAUGCAAUCUCUGCAAGUAACAAACAAUAGAGUUACAUUUUAACUAAAAUAUUUCUUAAAAUUUACUAUCAGAAAUUAUUCAGAACUGAAAUAUCUUUCUUUAAUCAAAACUUUACUAAACAAGGGAAACCUGAAAUAUAUCAUAAAAAUGCAGCAUGGCAUGGGAAUUAUAAAUUCUAGUCAUCCUUCCUAAAAACAACUAAAAGAAAAGGAAAAAAUUAUGUCUUUUGGAGUCAUUAUGUACAACCUAUACGACAAAACUAAUCAAGAACUUUUCAGUUUUAUUGAAAAUUAAACAUUUAAUUCCAAGUGUUCUCUCUACAUGUCCUCAUCAUUUGCUGCACUUGUUGUUGUUGUUGUUGUGGGAUUGAUGUUCCUAUCUGCAGGCUCGUGGAGUUCAAUUGAAUGUAGCCUAGCUGCAAUACUCUGAUUAACCAAGAGAUAAAUAUUGUUAAUUCAAAGUUCCUCACUUUAAUAAAACAGAUGAUUUUAACACUAUUACUGAUUGAAAUUUAUGCAAGUUUCAAUCAUUUUAAUUUCAGUCAAUAGUAAAAAGUCUAAAGUUAAGAUUGUUAAUAGCACUAGUCCAUAGUAAAUCAAAUGUGACUUUCUUACAUCAACGGGGUCGGCUGCUAUGAGCUGAUUCACUGGGGUAUUUCCAGAAGUCUUUCCCUUAUCAUUGGUUGACAUAACGGAACACAUUAUGUUUUUGCGAUGGAGACGACCGUCAUUACCAAUAACGAGACCUGAUCCAGAUAAAGGAAGUAUCUCAAAUUUUCUCUUCUUGGAUGUUAUGUUGAGAGAAGAAUCAGCCUCUUUCAUUGCUACAUCAUCUUUCUGAUCAGUUAUGGAACUGAUCAGUUAUUGGUCUCGUCAUUACCAAUAACGAGACCAUGAUGAUUCCAACAGCCACAGUUUGACGCAUGUCUCUGACAGCAAAACGGCCAAGGGAUGGAUAUUCAUUGAUACCCUCCACGACCAUGGGUUUCAUAGGAAUCAUCUUAACAACAGCGGCAUCACCAUUCUUCAAAGACAUGGGCUUCUUCUCCAAUUCCACACCUGAUUCCCUAUCGAACAUCGUAACAAGCUUAGCAAACUUGACAGCAGUGUGGGAGGCGUGGCAGUCAAGGACAGGAGUAUAUCCUUUGGUAAUCUUUGAAGGGUGGUUAAAGACGAUAACACGAGAUGUAAAUUUAGCAGCCUCCAUGGCCGGUUCAUACUUGGAGUCUGACGCAACAUAGCCUCGCCUAAGAUUCUUAUCGGACAAUUUCUUAUUUGUAAGGUGCAAUCCCACAAUAUCACCAGGAAGGGCCUCACUGAUGUUUUCAUGAUGCAUCUGCACAGACUUAACUCCAGAUUGCAGCCCAGUUGGGGCAAAAGUCAGCACCAUUCCAGGUUUCAACACACCAGUCUCAACACGUCCGACAGGUACAGUUCCAACACCUCCAAUCUUGUAGACAUGUUGAAGUGGUAGUCUCAAAGGCUUGCCUGAAGGCCUCUUAGGCUCGUCGAUUUGGUCAAGAGCUUCAAGAAGGGUAGGACCUUCGUACCAGUCAAGGUUAGUCGAGCGCUCAAUGAUGUUAUCUCCCUUAUAACCAGAGAUGGGAACAAAUGGAAUUUUAUCUGUGUUAUAACCAAUCCUCAUCAAAGCGGGUGAAAUUCCCUUCACAAUUAGUUCAUACCUAUCCUUGGAGUAUUUGGGUGUAAUGGCAUCCAUCUGCGAAGAUAGAUGUUAAUAAUUAAUACUUAUAUAAAUGAAUUAUAAAAAUAAUCAAAUGCUGAAAAAUAUAAAUACCUUGUUGCAGCAGCAGAUCAUUUGCCUCACACCAAGAGUGAAGGCAAGAAGAGCAUGUUCCCAGGUCUGACCAUUCUUAGACCAACCAGCUCGCAAACCUCUAGUAGUCGAAUCAAUGACGAGAACAGCACAGUCAGCUUGGGAGGUCCCGGUGAUCAUGUUCUUAAUGAAAUCCCUGUGUCCGGGAGCAUCAAUGAGAGUGAAGCAGUACUUGGUUGUCUCAAACUUGCAUAGAAAUGUCAAUUGUGAUACCUCUUUCACGCUCAGCGUUGAGCUUGUCAAGCACCCAAGCAUACUUGAAUGAACGCUUCUUCAUCUCAGCAGCUUCUUUCCCAAGUGCCUCAAUGGCACUCUUUUCAAUACCUCCAAGCUUGUAAAUCAAAUGACCAGCCGUAGUUGACUUCCCAGAGUUGACAUGACCAAUAAACACAAUGUUGAUAUGAACCUUUGUGUCAACCAUCACUACUUAAACUUGAAAUCUCAAACAGAUCUGUCAAUUCAACACAGAAAACAAGACAAGUAAAAUAAAUCUCCAUAUUCAUUCAACAAUAAAGUAAAAUACUAUAUAGAAACAACACAUUCUGACAAGUCAAAAAUAUGCAAAUCAACGACAAAAAUACAACUUAAAUCGGGUAUGUAAUUGAAUGUUUGAGCAGGAAAAACAUAGUGGAAAAACAAACAUUUGUACAAAGUAAAUAAAUAAAAAACUAAAUAUCAUAAUCACACAUUAUGAAACACGGACACUCCUCGGAUUAGGCGUGUCCGACACCGACACAUAUAAUUACACUGAAUUAUAUGAUUUUAUCAAAUUAUUAGCGGUAUGGGCAUUUUGUGUUUACACAAUAAAGAUUGUAUACUAUAAUAAACCACAUAAAUUUACAAAUGUUAACGAGCAAAGCAAAACAAAAAAAGAAGGUGAUCGGUUGAAGAGUUUAGGAGCACACAAAAAAAUGAGUCAACGUAGAAUUGAAUCGUUCUCUUAUUUGUUCUUAGUUUUUACCAAUCGUACACCUUAGAUUGAAGAGAAAAAGCAGAAAAGAAACAAAAACGGAAAUUAACGGCUCCAUCGUUUGUUGAUAGCAGAUGGGUGUGUUUUUAUGAAGGAAACGGAAAGUUUUUAUGAAUGAAAAGGAGCUUUGCACACAAUAGACCAAUUCUGUAACCUAAGAAUCGGUGAUAUGUAUGCAUAAAUAAAAAAGGAAAUAUGAGAAAUGUACCUUCUACGUUGAAACCCUAAAAAGAGAAAGGUAGUAAACAAGGUUACGGUAUUCGAAUAUAUAUAGUGCAUACAACUUUUUUUUUUUUGACGAAAUUGCUUGUUUUCCUAAUCUAUUAUUAUUCAUUUCUCUUUGGGUGUUGUGUGCAUUAUUAUUGCUAAAUACAAAAUAAGACAGAAAUUAACUUUCAUUUUUCUCAUAACCAAUAAAUUGAUGACUUUAAUUGUGGUCCACGUCUGUGUAAAGUCAGUUUACACAGUCAUUCAAUGGUAUUGUGCCACAUCAUUUCCUUUUAAAAUGUGUUAUUUAAAUUAUUAAAAAUAAAUAAAUAAAUAAAUAAAUUCAGUUGUUACAUUCUUGUAGCAUUUUCAUCACGUUCCAGCAACUUCCAACUCUGUAACAAGAUUGCUUCUCUCCCUCAAUCCAACAAAACUCAAUCAAUUCUUUCUCUUUUUUCAAUUGAAGGUAUCAAAUAUCUCUAAUAUCCUACAUUCUUUUGUUCGUGUGAACGAGGCGAACGCGACUCUCAAUAAAAAACCACCGUUACGACCUGAGAACUGUCUUUGAAAAAGAUUAUGGAAGUUUUGAUCUGAGACAUUAUAAACAGGUGAAUUAACCACAUCUUCAAUUACUUGGUUUCUUUAGUUCUACAGUUUUUUAUUUUUUGAGAAACUCAAUUACGCAUUUUGCAGUCUCCAAAGAUUUUUGUUUGGCAAUGUUGUUCAUAUUUAAACAUGUUUGUGGAUUUAUUAAGUUCAAAAAAUAAAUUCUAUUUGCAUAUUCUUAUCAUUCGAUUAACUUGCUUUCUAAAUAUGGUCAAUUCAUUGAAUUUUUAUUCAGCAUAACAGGAUUGUGAGUGCUUAAACAUCCUUAUAGUAUAUGGUAGCACAGGGGCGUCCCUGAGGGGGUGCAAACAGCUCAAACGAGUUGGGCCUCCCUCAAGGAUGGGCCUCAUAAUUUUUUUUAUACCCAGUAUAAUAUAUACCUCCAAUAAAAAAAAAUUAUUUCAUUCCCUCACAAAAGUUGAAACGCGUUUCCUCGCUCUCAUCACCGAUUUUCUUCCAUUCCAUCACCGAUUCACAACCACCAUAACUGAUCAAUCAUCAACUGAUUCACAUCAUCAGGUUUUCCUUCUUCUUCUUCACCAAAUCAUCACUGAUUCUCAACUCUCAAGGUUUAAAUCAGUUUUUCCCUUUCCAAAACAACAUUGUUUGGUAAGUAAAUAAACUUUCUUUCAUUAAUUUGAAUGUUGAAAUUGCUAAAAUAGAGAUUGAUAGAGAUUUAUUGAAUGUUGAAAACAACACUGUUUCAAAUUUCAAUCGGUUUUCCCCUUUCCAAAACAACACUGUUUGUUGAAUGUUGAAAUUGCUAAAAUAGAGAUUGAUAAAGAUUGAUAGAGAUUUGGUUGAUUAUUAACAGAAUUGGUAAUAAUUGAUUUCUGCAUAUUUACUGUUUUGGGAGUUUUUGUUAAAAUUAUUCAAAUUUUAGUGUAUAAUUGAAUUUAUAUAUCAUAUAUGUUGCUAAUUACUAAUUAUGUUAUAAUUUUAUUUUAUGGUUCAAUCUCAACAUUGUAUGUCUAAUGAUGUGGUUCAACUUCAACAUUGCGGAAUUGCUCAAGAACAGUGAAGAAUUUCAGGUUCUUUAUUUUUUUUUUAAUUUUCCUCUAUGCCUCCUAAAUUGGCUCCUCCUAGAUUGCCACCUAAGAUUCGAAAGUUUGAGUCUGGCACCUCUGGGUAGUCAUUUUGACCUCUGGGUGUACCACAUAUAUACGGCACCUUGUAUUUAUCUUUUAAAAAAUAUAAAUAGAACAUUGCUCUUUUAAAAAAAAUACGUUUUGAUUUUAUCACGGGCCUCUUUUCAUUUCCAGAUCCGAACCUCCGAAUUCUCAGGGACGGCCUGGGUAGCAUAUAUGGGCAAAGGAUGUUUAACAUUUAACAAACAUUAACAGGCUUCUUGAAUCAAAACUAUAGUAUCAUUGCUCAAUGCUUGAAACUUAAAAAUUCUAUCCUACCAUUUAAACCAGAGCUGAUGUCUCGGAAACUUGUGGCACAGCAGUAUCAUCUCGAGGACAAAUCAGGAGUUGAUAUUGGAAUUAAAUAUUCAGUUGGCCUCCAAAAGUCUUCAUGAACACUGCUGCAUACAGAUGCAUGCAGUACUAGGAGGUACCUCAGUGUAGUUCUCCUAAAGAGCAUAAAGCAGAAAAUCAAAUGAUUUUUUUCUUACAACUCUGAAUGAAAUAUGAAGGUCAUCAUGGUCAACAGUUAAAUUAAAAAUAUAUACUUCGUCCAUUCCUUUUUCUUGUCAUUUUAAGAUUAUUUACGCAGUCCAUAUUUAUGAGUUUGCUUUCCCUUUUUAUUUUCAUUCAGAGUCGCAGUUCCAUAUAGUAUAUGCUAGCAUUUGAUUUCAUUAAAUUUGAUGAUGUUCAAUCAUUUGGUUAUAAUUCUAUUUGGAAGUAUAUAAUUCAACUGCAAUAAACCAAUAAUUUGACAAUGUUGAAAGACAUUGCAAAGAGGGUGGAAGAUGUCGUCAAGCUACUGCUCUAGUGCCACCAUCUCAGGUUCACAACUGUAUUUUUUUAAUAGGAUGAUAUGUGUAGGUUACAGUUUCAGCUCCAACACAUGAGCUCUCAAGAAUGCCCAUUGUUGGACCCUCAAGCCUAUAUAACACAUGUUACUUGGAUUGUAGAUGUGCCUUUUUCAGCAGAGAGGAUGAAUUUCAGCUGUAGAUGGCUAUUGUUGUGUUAAUUAUUAUAAAGAAAUGAAAAUCAGUGAGUACAAUAGGUAUUUAUAGAUUGCUGAUGUUGUACAAUAAGAAAGUGUAAGGUAGCAAGCAACAGAUCAAUGUAAACUUGAUUAAACUAAACUAAAGUGAAGUUACUUGUACUGUAAGCUAACUCAGUCAACUGUAUUGUUGACUUCAUUCAACUUAUCAUGUAAUACUCUCCCACAAGUUGGAGAUUGGUAAAGGUCUAGGAAUCCCAACUUGGAUAACAAAAUGUUGAAUGGCUAGAGAAGCAAUGACUUAGUGAAACAAUCAGCAACUUGAUCCUGAGAUGAUAUAGGGAGAAGCUUUAAAAUGCCUGCUUGAAGCUUUUCCUGACUAUAUGAUGAAUAAUUAUAAGAUGUGAAUGUUUCAUGCAAAAUCUUGAUGAAAACUACAAUGAAACCUUUAAUUUAGUCAUAAUACUUAAAUGUGUUUAAUUAUACAUGACAUUGUUGUAUGUUGCUGCUAUAAGUUUGACUGGACUGACCUCACAUAUGUAUUUGGCACAUAUAGGGUUUCGUUAAUAAAAAAGAUGCUAGGAAAUUAUAUAAGCUACAAAAUUCAUUUAAAAACUAGAAGAAACUUUCUGGAGUUGAAUUGUUUGUUCUUAUAGAUAAAGUUUUAUGAAAAAUUGGAAUAAUAAAGGAGAAAUAUAAAUACUUUUUUACACAAGGAGAUUAAUGGGAAUAUUUAUAUUUUUUUUGACCAAAGCAAAGUUAACUAUUAUCAUUAAUCAACCAAUGUUCAAUACAAGAAGGAUAAGAAUAAAAAAUGCGGUGACAAGCCCAAGAACAAGCCGCCCUAGCUAAAGUAUGAGCAACCAUGUUCGCUUGUCUCCUAACAAACUUCACCUCGAAGUUGGAAUGUAAAGAUAACUGGUAAAUUAUACUAGAAACAAUAGCAUAAAAUUCUGAAUCACCAUGACCCGGAGACGAUAACGCUUGCACUAGAGUAGCGGAGUCGGACUCGAAGACAACCCGUUCCCAUCUAUUGACAUCAGCAAAGUGAAUGGCCUUGAGUAAGGCUACUGCCUCCCCCUCCAAAACUGUCAUAUUUGCCCGCUGCCAUCGAUUGAGCCCGAAUAAAUUGCCCACGGGAGUCUCUAACGCAACACGCAAAAGAUGUAAUAUGCUUAUGGUCAUGGAAUGUGGCAUCCACGUUGUACUUCAACCACGACUCGCGCAGUUUCUCCCAAACUGAGUUGUUACCUUGCAUUCUAUUAUGUUCGUGAUGCACCGGCAAUGGUGAUGGUUGUGUAUGAACCUCUUGCCAUUGUUGCCAUGCAUCUAGUGUUGUCCUUCCAAUGCUUGUUGAAGUAUGAUGAACGUCAUUCCAAAUGACAUCAUUACUUGCAGCCCAAAUUUGCCAAAGAAGUAAAGCCACCCGACUAGCAAUGUCUCGGCUUUCUGAACAACAUAUAUCAAAAGCAAAAUCUGCCAAACUGCUCUCAGUUCCAACUCGCGUUUUCAGCACAGUUGAAAGCCCUGCCCAAUACCAACUCUCACGCGCCACCGUACAACCCACAAAAGCAUGCCAAUCAUCCUAAAUACUCGUAUCGCACCAGGGACAGAAUACCUCACAUUGUACAUGCCGCAAUUGUAGUUAGAGACGCGUAGGAGCACACCUCCUACAAAUCCUCCAUAACAAGUUACGUGCUUUAUGAGGGGAAUUCACCUUUCAGAUUCUAAUGAAAGACUUUGGCGAGAUUUCCUUAAAAGUUAGGAAUCAAGAUCUAAAGAGAUAGAUUAUUGAUGGAACUCGACCUUAUCCUAGCUAAAUAUAUUGGAGAAGUGUUCUAACAACUAAUAUGCUUAAGUUCAUACUAAAAUUAUUGCAUACGUCACAUGAUGUGUUUUGUUCGAGCGACAAUGUUUUGUCUCAUUGGAUGCAUGAGAAGGGGAUACAUGAAAUGUAUAUCCAUAUGAUUUGGUGAUUGGGUCGAUCGUGUACACCAUGAUAUGUACUAGACCAAAAUCACCAUAUGGUCGUUACUAAAUCAAUACCAAUAAUAUUUGUGGUUGCCUUAAAAGUGUUGAGGAUUGUUUUUUGAACUCUUUCUUGUGUCAGUAGUUUGGUCCAUUGGAUAUCGUUUGAUAUUUUAAUUAAAUUUUCAAAUUUAAGGUACAACCAUUGAAAAAAUUGGAUUUUGGGACUUCUUGGGUAAAAAACUCUUCCCAAUUGUGUUAAUUGUUUGUCUCCUAGAAUUUGCUUAGGAUUAACUUCAAUUUCACGACUUGAAUGAUUAUUGUGACAUGAUAAGUAAAUUAUAUGAUUGAUCAUUAACUACUACAUUGUUGGUUAAUGUAAAGUAUUGUGAUUAUGAUAAGUGUGCGAUUUUGCCUUGAUUGGAAUAAAUUAAGUGUAUAUAAAAGACUAUUAAAAUUUUGUGAGAGAAAUACUUCAUAACGGGUAUAAAUUCCACCCGGUGGACGAAGACUUUUGAGAAUACUUGCAAUCAAGGGAAUCCGGAGUUUAGAAUUUCCUUUGAUGACAGUUAAUUUCUCCUGGUCUUAUUGAGUCAAAAAAGUAUUAAUUACCUUUUUAAAUAUAAAUGGCAUCUAAAUAAAUAGAGAUUGAAACAAAAUAACAUUAUUGUAUUGAUACAAAGUAACAACUUUGACAAAAACCAAAGUAACAACAUUAAACAAAAUAAAAUAUGAAACUAAAGUAAUUUUAGAAAUAUCAUUUAGAUCACCAUUACUCUCCUCAUACUUUUUCUUAGGAUAGAUAAGCUAAAAUAUUGAUUUUCGCCAAAUCAAUAUGAAAUUGAACUCUGGAUCUCAAUAACAUCCUUCUUUGCCAUUCCACAUAUUGGACAAGUUUGGAGUAAAGCUUCACAUUGUUUGCAUAAAGAUAGAUGCCUACAUGGAAGAAAUAAGACACCAACAAAGUUUGUCUUACACUUUGAACAAAACUUCAAAUUGUCGUCGCUUCUCAUGCGCUUUUCAGCUCUUGCUUCUUCACUUUCACCGCAACAUGAUUCCGCGUCAUUUAGCACAACCAUCCUUGCUCUCUUCUUCUCUUCUUCCAACUUGUUAUGCAGAGCUAUUGUUGUGGCUCCCCUUUCCUCAGCUAUUCUCUUCAAAAAUCUUUUCUCUGUCUCUAGGCUUCUUAAGAGAUUUUCCAUCUCUUGAUUUUUCUUUACAACUUUUGCAAUUUCUUCAUUUGCUUUUGUCAUAAUUUGCCUUGAAUAAAUUUCCAUAUUUUUUAGUGUAGCCACUUGUAACUCCCUAAUGUGAUGUUGUAACAUGAGUUUUAUUUGACCAUUCUGUGAUGACAAAAAUACAUUAAAAAGAAUAAAGUAAACAACAUUUUCAAAAUAAAUAAAUAUAGUUAGAAAAUUAUACAUAAAUUGNNNNNNNNNNNNNNNNNNNNNNNNNNNNNNNNNNNNNNNNNNNNNNNNNNNNNNNNNNNNNNNNNNNNNNNNNNNNNNNNNNNNNNNNNNNNNNNNNNNNGGAUCCUCGUGGAUGUGUACAAGUCCAGAAUGAUGUGCAGGGUCCCCUAAAUAGAAGGGAACUUGUGGUUACAAGGGAACCCGAGAGCAAGGACGUCUGUGUUGUCACUCCGGUAUUCAGAGCCAGGAGGCCGCUGGUGAUAAACCCUAACAGUACAAAGCCCGUUGGUACUCCCUUGGUAAUCUGUGUGCCUAGGCCCACGCCUACUACUGCUCAGAAAGCUGUACCCUACAAGUAUGAAGGCACGAUUCUAGAGCCCGGAAGUGAGACAACUUCACCUGUUGCUGUGGAUAAUAUCGCAGAGAAUAGCCGGAUUUUGAGGAGUGGCCGCAUCCUUCCUACGGUGGGUCCGAAGAGUGUUAGUGUUCCGGUCGAUGAACCAGUAAAAGAGCGAAACGCCGGUAAAGGUAAAGCUGGGGAGCAGGCCAAAGAGUUUGACUUUGAGGAUGCCGAUGAAGUCUUGAAGCUGAUCAAGAAGAGUGAAUACAGGGUGGUGGACCAGCUGUUACAAACUCCUGCGAAGAUUUCCAUCAUGGCCCUGUUAUCAAGUUCUGGUGCUCAUCGGGAUGCCCUGAGGAAAGUACUAGACCAGGCAUUUGUGGAUUAUGAUGUAACUCUGGGUCAAUUCGAAAGCAUUGUGGGGAAUGUGACCGCGUGUAACAGUCUGACUUUCAGUGAUGAGGAUCUCCCAGCGGAGGGGAAUAAGCAUAAUCAAGCGUUACUCAUCUCUGUACUUUGCAGAACAGACUCGUUAUCCAACGUCCUGAUAGAUACCGGCUCUGCACUUAAUGUGAUGCCCAAGUCAACUCUCGACCAAUUGGCGUACUUCGAGGCUCCUUUGAGACUUAGCAAGGUGACGGUAAGGGCCUUCGAUGGAACUAGGAGAUCGGUGUAUGGUGAGGUAGAUUUGCCAAUUUCGGUCGGCCCACAUGAAUUUCAGGUUACUUUCCAAGUCAUGGAAAUCCAGGCUUCUUUCAACUGUUUGCUCGGCAGACCAUGGAUUCAUGACGCUGGGGCUGUGACAUCUACUCUCCAUCAGAAAUUGAAGUUUGUAAGUCGUGGAAAGUUGAUCACUGUGAGUGGCGAAUCGGCCUUUUUAAUCAGCAAUUUGUCUGCUUUCUCUGUCAUCGGUGGUAGUGGUUCAGACGGGCCAUCAUUCCAAGGGUUCUCUGCCGAAGAAAGUGUCGGUAAGAUUGAGACUUGUAUGGCUUCGUUGAAGGAUGCCCGGAGAGUAAUUCAGGAAGGCAAAACCGAAGGCUGGGGUCAGCUAGUGGAGUUUCCAGAAAACAAGCGUAAGGAGGGAAUUGGUUUCCUUAACAGUAAGCCUGGGAUGUUCGACCCUACCAGAGGUUCUUUCCACAGUGCUGGUUUCAUUCAUGAUUCGCCAGAAACCAAUGCAAUUUUAGAUGAUGCACCUGGAGGAGUGACACCGGUCUUUGUGACGCCUGGAGGAGCUUGCUGCAACUGGAUUGCUGUUGACAUUCCUUCUGUGACACCCCGCUCUAAGUAAUGUGUUUGUCUUGUCUUUUGUUGUUUUUUGUUUUUAAGAAAACUCCUUUCGUUCUGCCCAAGGCGAAAGUGAAAUCAUGUAGGGCUUUGUUUUGCUUCUAGUACUUUUAUUACAAAUAAAAAUCGUCGUUUCUAUCACGGCUUUUAUUACUUUUUAUUUUUUGUUGCUUUUUCUGGAAAAAAUGGUAAUACAAAAAUUCAAAAAAAUCAUUCUCUUUUUCCUUUAAAUUUCAAAACCAAAGGUCUGCAUUUACUCAUUAAAAUCAAUCAUGAAUCAUGUGCAGACUGAACAUAAGUGAAUCCGUUGAACACAGUGACCCCAUGCUUUCUCCCAACUUUGAGGUCCCGGUUUAUGAGGCUGUGGUAGAGGAGGAUGAAGAGAUCCCAAAUGAGAUCAAAUGGAUGUUGGAACAAAAAAGGAAGACAAUUCAACCUCAUCAGGAAGAGAUAGAAAUCAUUAAUCUGGGUACUGAGGAAGACAAGAAAGAAAUCAAGAUUGGGGCAUCGUUGGAUGUAUCUGUCAAGAAAAGAGUAAUUGAGCUUAUCAGAGAAUAUGUUGAUAUAUUCGCAUGGUCAUACAAAGACAUGCCGGGUCUAGACCCUGAUGUCGUUGAACACAGACUACCUUUGAAGCCUGAGUGUCCUCCGGUAAAGCAGAAAUUGAGAAGAUCUCAUCCUGAUAUGGCCCUCAAGAUCAAAGAGGAAGUGCGAAAGCAGAUUGAUGCAGGUUUCCUAGUCACAUCAGAGUAUCCUCAAUGGUUGGUCAACAUAGUGCCUGUUCCAAAGAAAGAUGGCAAAGUCAGAAUGUGUGUUGAUUAUCGGGACUUGAACAAGGCUAGUCCGAAGGAUAAUUUUCCUUUGCCUCACAUUGAUGUAUUGGUUGAUAACACUGCUAAGUGCAAGGUUUUCUCCUUCAUGGACGGUUUCUCCGGCUACAAUCAGAUCAGGAUGGCUCCUGAGGAUAGAGAAAAGACGUCUUUCAUCACGCCCUGGGGUGCUUUCUGCUAUGUGGUGAUGCCAUUUGGUUUGAUAAAUGCUGGUGCCACUUACCAGAGGGGUAUGACCAAAAUCUUUCAUGAUAUGAUUCACAAAGAAAUUGAGGUCUACGUAGAUGAUAUGAUUGUUAAGUCUGGCACAGAAGAGGAACAUGUUGAGUAUUUGUUGAAGAUGUUUCAGCGGUUGAGAAAGUACAAGCUCCGGUUGAAUCCCAACAAAUGUACUUUCGGUGUUAGAUCUGGUAAACUCCUAGGCUUUAUCGUCAGUCAAAAGGGUAUUGAAGUUGAUCCCGACAAGGUCAGAGCCAUCAGAGAAAUGCCUGUUCCAAAGACAGAGAAGCAAGUCAGAGGUUUUCUUGGUAGACUCAAUUAUAUCUCCAGAUUUAUCUCUCACAUGACCGCCACAUGUGGACCAAUUUUCAAGUUACUCCGCAAGGAUCAAGGGGUGAAGUGGAAUGAUGAUUGUCAGAAGGCUUUUGAUCAAAUCAAAGAAUAUCUGUUAGAACCUCCAAUUCUUGUUCCUCCAGUUGACGGAAGACCUUUGAUCAUGUAUUUAACAGUACUGGAAGAUUCCAUGGGCUGUGUUUUGGGUCAACAAGAUGAAACCGGAAAGAAAGAGCACGCUAUCUACUAUUUGAGUAAGAAGUUCACUGAUUGUGAGUCCCGAUAUUCUGUACUUGAGAAAACUUGUUGUGCUUUAGCUUGGGCUGCCAAGCGUCUCCGUCAUUAUAUGAUUAAUCAUACAACUUGGUUGAUAUCCAAGAUGGAUCCUAUCAAGUACAUAUUUGAGAAGCCAGCUUUAACUGGAAGGAUUGCUCGCUGGCAGAUGUUAUUGUCCGAGUAUGAUAUCGAGUAUCGCACUCAGAAAGCAAUCAAAGGUAGCAUCUUGGCAGAACAUUUGGCUCAUCAACCAAUCGAAGACUAUCAACCAAUCAAAUUCGACUUCCCAGAUGAAGAGGUUAUGUAUCUAAAAGCAAAAGAUUGUGACGAACCAGUGUUCGGUGAAGGUCCUGAUCCGGAAUCCGAAUGGGGUUUGAUAUUUGAUGGAGCUGUUAAUGUCUAUGGAAGUGGAAUUGGCGCGGUACUCAUUACCCCUAAGGGUACUCACAUCCCUUUUACUGCGAGGUUACGUUUUGAUUGCACAAACAACAUCGCAGAGUACGAAGCUUGCAUCAUGGGUAUCGAGGAAGCCAUCGAUUUGAGGAUCAAGAAAAUUGUCAUUUAUGGAGAUUCCGCUCUUGUGAUUAACCAGAUCAAAGGAGAAUGGGAAACUCGUCAUCCUGGAUUGAUUCCCUACAGAGAUUAUGCAAGGCGUUUGCUGACUUUCUUCAACAAAGUAGAGUUACAUCAUGUGCCCCGCGAUGAGAAUCAAAUGGCAGAUGCUUUAGCUACUCUAUCCUCAAUGAUCAAUGUGAAUGGUCACAAUACUGUGCCGGUAAUCAAUGUCCAAUUUCUCGACCGACCUGCUUAUGUGUUUGUAGCUGAAGCAAUUGAUGAUGACAAGCCCUGGUAUCAUGAUAUCCAAGUUUUCCUUCAAACUCAAAAGUACCCACCUGGGGCAUCCAACAAGGACAAGAAAACAUUGAGAAAAUUGUCAAGCCGUUUCUUCCUUAACGAAGACGUUUUGUAUAAAAGGAACUUUGAUGGGGUCCUACUUAGAUGUGUGGAUAAGCAUGAAGCAGAAAAAUUGAUGCGCGAGAUUCAUGAAGGCUCUUUCGGAACUCACUCAUGUGGGCACGCCAUGGCGAAGAAGAUAUUGAGGGCUGGGUAUUACUGGAUAACAAUGCAUGCUGAUUGCUACAACCAUGCCAAGAAAUGUCACAAAUGUCAAAUCUAUGCUGACAAGAUUCAUAUACCACCGUCUAUGCUCAAUGUCAUCUCUUCCCCGUGGCCAUUCUCUAUGUGGGGCAUUGACAUGAUUGGUCGGAUCGAACCAAAAGCUUCCAAUGGACAUCGCUUCAUAUUAGUGGCUAUCGAUUAUUUCACCAAGUGGGUUGAAGCAGCAUCUUACGCCAAUGUGACCAAGCAGGUAGUGGUCAGAUUUAUCAAGAACAACAUCAUCAGCCGCUACGGUGUUCCCAACAGAAUCAUCACAGACAAUGGCACAAAUCUGAAUAACAACAUGAUGAAAGAGUUGUGCGACGACUUCAAGAUUCAACAUCACAAUUCUUCUCCUUACAGACCUCAGAUGAAUGGGGCAGUUGAAGCUGCAAACAAGAACAUCAAGAAGAUCAUACAGAAGAUGGUAGUUACUUAUAAGGACUGGCAUGAAAUGUUACCCUACGCUUUGUAUGGAUACCGUACCUCAGUGCGAACCUCGACAGGGGCAACCCCUUUCUCUUUGGUAUAUGGUAUGGAGGCUGUACUACCUGUAGAGGUUGAGAUUCCUUCUUUAAGAGUCUUGAUGGAAGCUGAAUUGUCUGAAGCUGAAUGGUGCCAGAGCAGGUACGACCAGUUGAAUUUGAUUGAGGAAAAACGUAUGGCUGCUUUGUGUCAUGGACAGUUAUAUCAGUCAAGGAUGAAACAAGCAUUCGAUAAAGGAGUCCAUCCCCGCGAAUUCAAGGAAGGAGAUCUUGUGCUCAAAUGUAUCAAAUCCUUUCAACCAGAUCCUAGGGGCAAAUGGACGCCAAACUAUGAAGGUCCUUACGUGGUGAAGAGAGCUUUCUCUGGUGGUGCUUUAAUUCUUACAAAUAUGGAUGGAGAGGAGUUACCUCGUCCUGUGAAUUUUGAUGCAGUCAAGAAAUACUUUGUCUAAAUAUAUAAAAGAACAGCUCGGUAGGUCGAAAACCUGAAAGGGCGGCUUAAACCAAAAAUGAGCGUCUCGGUGGAUCGAAAACCCGAAAGGGCGGUCCAGGCAAAAAUUAGAGACAAAAAAAAAAAAAAAAAAAGGAAAUUAUCCUGAUAGAUCGAAAACCCGCAAGGGCGAUCUAUGCAAAAAUUAAGGAUCGAGACAAGUAACUGCAUCAGAUGAAACAUCACUCGCCCGAGACACCUUGACUGUCAGAAAUUCUCUAAUAUUGAAGCAUCCAAACUAUGGAAUUCAAAGUGGUUAAGAAGUAUAGCGGUUAUUGUGUUCAAUGUACCUAUCCCUUAUAAUUACCAUAUUCCAACUCUUUGUAAUCUAUGGUGCCAUGCCUUUAGCCGGUCACCAUUUCUAUUAAAUCAGUUUGAGCAUGUGCCCCUUUGUUGGAAUUCUUGUUUAUUCUAUGUGCAAAAAAUCUUUCUUUCGUUUUUAGUAUUAGUAUUUGAAGCAAAAAUUUUGAAAACUUUUCUAAAGAUUUUAUGUUUUCUUUCCAAAAAAAAACAAAAAUGACAAACAUAUUAUCUUUAAAAACAUGUAUCACAUAAGUAUGUGUCAACAGUUGGUCCGAAACAAGCAGGUUUAACAAAGAAGAAAUAGUCAUUGCAAAAAAAAAAAAAAAAGGGAAGAAAAGAAAAAAAGAAAAAAAAUGUCUCCCCGGUGGAUUGAAAAUCCGAAAGGACGAUCCAGGUAAAAGUUAGGGAUUUCAAAAAAAAGAAUAUAUACAAAAAGCAAUGACUAUUCAGACAAGACAGUACGGUGUUGCAUUGAUGAAAUGGCGACUUCUACCACAGUUUGUGAAGACUUACCUCAGCAGUAUGUUUAAGGGCUGUACCCUAACAAUGGUUGAUUCAUCCCCCGUGACUUUAUCCCCAUUGAAGGCUUUGAGUGUUCGUACAGUGAUGCCGGGCCAUUCUCCUCGUAGACCUGCCCAGUCCUGUCUCAACAAUCUUACCAUUACACCAUCAUAUGAGUCUCAUACAUACUCAUUCAUUCAUGCAUACAUAGCACGCAUAUAAAUAUCAUUCAUACAUAGUUGCAUUUUUACCCAAUGACUUAUUUCAAUAUCCUUAGAUAUCACCCCCAGUGUGUCUAACUCCAAAAUGUCAUCAAAUCAAACAUGUGGCAGGUCUCAUCAGUAAUCAGUCUAUACAAUUCCCCUUUGUCUUCAGACAAAUUCCUUGUUCCCCUCAACUUUAUCUUUAUCAAGUCAUUCCCUUGAUACCAAGCUUUACAAUGUCUUCACUUUUACCGUGUGUUUGCUAUCCCACAAUGUUAGCAAACCCUAUCGGUCCGUCUUGUCUUUACUUUCGCCACUCGUCGGCAAUCAAUCAUGUCUUACUUUCGCCACUCGUCGGCCAAUCAUGUCUUUACUUUCGCCACUCGUCGGCCAAUCAUGUCUUUACUUUCGCCACUCGUCGGCAAUCCAUCAUGUCUUUACAUUCGCCACUCGUCGGCAAUCAAUCAUGUCUUUACAUUCGCCACUCGUCGGCAAUCAAUCAUGUCUUUACUUUCGCCUUGAAACAUUGUCAUUUAUACUUACCUAUCAUUUCUUUCCCCAGUGAUACCUAUCCAUUUGGCUCCCAGUCAGCCUCUGCAUCAUCUUUACCUUCAUACUUACAUCAUAUUCAGUCGUAUUAUCACAUUCAUCAGCAUUACAUCUCUGGCGUUUCAAAUGGUCCAAAAUUGGCGUUUUUAUAUAUUUAAGUCUCUCCGACCCUUUGGUUUAAAAAGUUCUCUUUUAAAACCUUUGUGACGAAGAAACUUAAAUAGGGGCAUCUGUCAUACCCCAAUUUUGGACCGUUUAAAAUCUCUUGUCCGUAUUUUAAAAUGGUUCACGUUCCCUUUUAUUCGUUUUUUUUUCACCAUUUAAAAUUCGGGUUUCUUGUCUUUAGUCAUUCAAAAAGUUUUUAUUUUUACAUUUAAAUCAACGUUCGCAUUUCACAACAAUUAAAACCGUCUCACUUUCAUUUUUAUGACGCAUUUUUGUUAUAUAGUCUUUUUAGUCGUAACGAUCAUGUCUAAAAAAAAAAAAAAGAAGGCCCAAUCGCAUUUUAAAAGGCGUUUUUUAAAAAUCAUUUCAACCGAAAUUCCGGCAGGGAGGAUACUUUGAAGUACCUCAUGUCAGAUUCCGAGGGGACUUUUUAUUUUUUUUAAUUUUUUUUUAUUUGUCUUUUUUUAGUUUGUUUAUUAUUAUUUUAUUUUAUUAUUAUUAUUUUUUUUAUAAAAAAAAAAAACAAAGAAAGAAAGAAGACUCACGUCUUCCUCUCUUCUUUUCUUUUUUCUUUUCUUUUUCUUUUCUUUUUAUUUAUUUUAUUUAUUUAUUUAUUUAUUUGUUAAGCCUUUGUCCCCAAGUCUCAGCUGCAGGGGCAUUUUGGUCAUUGUUUUGUACCAGAGCCAACCCUAGUUUGUCACUAUAAAAACCCUGUCCAAUCAUUGGGAAAGGGGUCCGAAAUUACUGUUCACGUCAGAAAAAAAUCAGCAUCAAUUCACAAACCCUAUUUUUCCAUUUUUCCAACCAGUUUUCAGAUCAAACACUAAAAUUACAAAGAAAUAACAUGAACUCAUGAAGAACAUUCAUAGAUUCAUCAAAAUCCAGCAACACAAAACUUAAACAAAAACAUCAAAUCAGCCCAUACAACCACACAAAUCAUCAUCAUCCAAACUGUACAAACAGAUCCAAACCGAACCGGAAAAAGGAGAGGAGCAAACCGAACCGGAAAAAGGGGAGGAGAACCGGACCGGAUUCAAACAAAGAGAGAGAGAUCGGAAAAAGAGGUAAUGGUUUUCUUUCAACUUUAUGUUGUGUUUUGUAUGAAGUUUUUUUGAAACUAAAUUUGUAGAUCUAGCUCAAAUUUCUCUACCCUUUUUAAAACUAAUACCGAAUUCGAGUAGAGGAAGGGAAGAGGAGUGGUUUGAUGUAAAAAAAUUUUCGAAAAAAAGCAAAAAAAAAGCUCCGGCGCGGCGGCGCUCCGGCCGACCACCGCGCCGGAGCAGCUCUGGCGAGAUUCCUAGAGAGAAGUGGGAGCUUCUCUCUCUAGGUUUUUAGAAAGAGG